ACGCGUGCAACUUUCGUGCAGCUUGCAUCGCAGCGAUUUGAUUAGCAUGAAGAAUCUUCGACCCUUGGAUGCAAGAACUCAGCUUUAUCAAAGCACGCGCAGUAAAAUUUGUUGUCUGUGGUAAUCCAACGUAGAAGCAAAAGAAACGGUGGAGAUCACAGCAGUAGGAGGAUUGUGUUGUUUGAGCACUCCUCAGAUCUGAGAUGAAAAGAAAAGAACUCAUUCAUUCAGAAGAUCUGAAUUACAAGAGGUCUUCCUCAUCGACCUCUCCACACACGGGCAAUUAUGAAGGCAGAACCAAAAGGCCAAAAGAGAAUGAUUACGAAGUGUUCUUGAGCUUUAGAGGAAAAGACACUCUCGUACUGGCUUCACCGAUCAUCUAUAUACCCGCCUUGUCGAUGCAGGAAUUCACGUGUUCAGAGAUGACAAUGAGCUAUGUGUUGGUGAGGAGAUUGGUUCGAAGCUUCUCUAUAGUAUUACUCAAUCUAAGAUCUCAAUCCCGAUCAUCUCUGAGGACUAUGCUUACAGCAAAUGGUGCCUUUGCGAGCUGGCGCAUAUGUUGAAAUGCAAGAGAAGCAGAGGGCAAAUAGUGUUGGCGAUAUUUUACAAAGUGAAACCCUCACGGUUGCGACAUCUUGUAGGGAAAUGGGCAUGCAAUAUCAAUGCACGUGAAAAGAAUUUGGACAAAAUGGUCGUGAAAGAAUGGGAAGAAGCGCUCAAAUAAAUAAGCUCAUUGAAAGGAUGAGAAUCAGAGAAAAUUGAUAACGGGCAUGAAGCAGUGCUAGUUAAAACAGUUGUCGAAAGAGUUAUGAGCGAGUUAAAAAGACCUUUUGGGCUCAAUG